rnacentral:tRNA from 1 species
GGGCUCGUGGCUUAGCCUGGACAUAGCGCUGGCCUUCUAAGCCAGAUGUCUCGGGUUCGAAUCCCGACGGGCCCGCCA